UGGUGCUAGUGGUUGAGACCCUGCCUGCCAGUGGACGGGCUACGGUCCAUGCGGUUGCAAAGAGUCCAACACGACUGAGCGACUUUCACUUCACUUCACCCUAGCUCUAUCUUUCCUUCACUCCUGUUUGUUUUUUUUUUUUAAUUCAAAGCAUUUAUCUCUUUUUGACAAAUCAUAAUUUUUAAGAAUUAACUGAUUGAUUGCCUGUUUUCAUACAUGCAUCACAGAGGCAGAUAGUUUUGUGUCUUAUCCUCUGUAGCCUCUCCCGUGCUUAAAAACAGUGCCUGCCCCAUGGCAAGCACUCAGUAAACAGUGAACAGGAAAAUCCAGACACAGCUGAAGUGAGAUUAAGAGGCUAUUUUCAUAUUGGAAGCUGACAAUCCCUGCUGCACUCCCUCAACUAAAGUCCAAAAACGUUCGAAGGCAGGGCUUUGACCUCCAUGCAGGAAAUUGGAAAAGUAUGCUUUGGGGAAUCUGCCAACUCACGGAAAAAGGAAAUGAAGACACUGACAUUGGGCUCCCUAGGAACUUUCCAGACAGUUCACCCUCUAGAUGAUCUGACAUCCAGGGGGUGACCUUAGCUAGGACUGAGGGGUUCCCUAGUUCAAGGGACAUUUAGUAUUAAAACUUAGGAGUCCCAGGCAAACCACAAUGCUUUGUCAAUACCAUCCACAUUCUCAGAGCUCCCAAUCUCUCAGUUACAAACAAACUUACUGAAACGUUUACGUGAGCACACAUCUGGACAGUCGUUAUCUUGAAAGACUAAGACCAAAAUAAAUACUCAGUUAAAAAGUAACUUGGAAAAAACAAAGACUAUGCUUGGAGAAGGAAAAAAAAAAAAUCAUCGAUAUCCUCAGAGAGAUAAGAGAAUAUCCCAGCCAUGAAAAGGGACAGGAAAUCAGACAUUAAAGGAGACUAAGCUGUUGUUUCCCAAAGACAAGCAGAUGCCACCAUCACGUCUCAGUCAUUGAACUUGUUCUUCAAAGGAAAUUUUACAGGUACGUAAGCAAAAUAAAUACAGAUGAGGUGCACGGUGUGAAGGCAGAAGUAACAGGUCAGAGCCCCACCCAACUGGCUUGCUCAAGAUUUCCAAGAAACCCCAAAGACUCUGCGGAACAUCAUUGAAAACCAAUGAAGAAAAGCCACCAUCCUUUCUAGUUUGAGAAUCAAAAUGUCAAAUUCGUCCAAUCUUGUUGACUGUGAAAAUUAAUUUAGGGUCUAAUAUCUGAAUCAAACUCGUUUAAUCUAAAGAUGGUCCGCCUGUGGGUAAAAACACUCGACUGUAUAAUGAACCAUAGGGGGAACUUGGCUGGCAGUCCAGUGGUUAAGACUCCUCAUUUCAGAGCAUCAGUUGUGUCCUGGGUUGGGGAGUUAAGAUCCCACAUGUCUCACAGUGCAGCCAAAAAAUAAAUAAAUUAAUUAAAUAUAUAAAAUAAACCUCAGCAGUACUUCUGAGGCUCUUCAGUUUCA